ensembl:lncRNA
CCCGACGCGGAAGUCUGUUGGAGGGAGCGGGUCCCGGGGGGCCGGAGCGGGCCGGGCCGGGCCGUCCUGUCCUGGGCUGCCGCUCCGGCUGUGCCGGGACCUGCUUCGCCCAGGGCGGGCUGUUGAAUAGCUUUUACUUGCCUUGGUCCCUGCCAGCGCGGUGUGCCGGAGCCGGAUCGGCUGUGCGCGCUCUGGAGCUCUCCCCGGAGACUGGGCGGCUCCGGGGGGCUCCGGUGCGGUGCAGGGUGAGGACAGGGACUUGUUCCCUUUGGGCUCCGCUUGGACGGAGGUCUAGAGAGCCCCGAGGACGACGUUUGGCCUUCUGUUUGCUUUCUUAUCCCAUAGAUGUUCGUCCUCGGUUCCCUCAGCCCGAAAUAAAGCCGUGUACGUGUUUGACGUACUCGGGGCUCUGCUCGCCUGUGGUAAACACCGCUAGCUGUGUGAGGACACGGAGCUGUGGGCUGCCUGCGCUGGGCCCGUUCUCUGGGACCUGCAAGAGUGUCUGUGGCUGCAGACCACCCUGUGUACUGAACAGCACCCAGGCCUGUCCUUGGACAAAGCUCUCUGAGGAUAAAGCUGACCUGCUGAGGCAACCAAGAAAAGCAAGUGGUCUACAAAUUGUUCCUGACAUGUUUAUUUUAUUCCUGGAGGACUGGUCUGCUCAGAAAACACAAGCUCUGGGUCUUCUCCUGCUUUCUUGUCUUUCAAAGCAUGAGAUCCUACUGAUGAAAGAAAAUUACACCUCCUUUAUACCAGUUAAAAGCUUCCAUUUUUAAUGCUAUCUUAGCCUUAAUAACACCUAUACAUCCAUUCUUAGGAUUAGGACCAAAGUGAAAGAGAACUAAUUCAUGGAACACAUUGGUCUCUUGGAGUUUCCUGAAGCUUUAUUUACUAAGUGAUAGAUGGGGAAUCUGAGAACCUGAGUUCCUGAGUAUCUGCUAUUGGUACUACUAUGAAUUAAUUGCCACAGAUCACUUGAUCUUUAUGUGUCUUGAUUUGCAAUACCUUUAAUGCUUUUGCUGUCGGGGAGAUGUAACCUCUUGAAAGUUGUAGAAUGCUUUGAGACCAUUGCAUAGAUGGUACUGCAUGAAAGCUCAAAAUAACAUACAGCAAAUCUGACUUCAGACUUCUUGUUGCUUUUCUGGAUGACUGAUUUUAAUUGCAGUGAGUUAAACAGUUGUAAAUAUGCAUUUGCUGCACAUUGAACAAAGGUUUUCAUUCCUGGAUUCCCAUGCAGGUGUGUGGCUGUGACCUGACCAACACUCUGCUGAUCCUUCCCUUGUUUAUCCCUUGCAAUUGAUUCCAGCAGUGAUGAAUUCACCUCUUGAAAUGAAUAGCGUCAAGUUUGUCAAUAUUUUAAAAGCUAAACCUAAUUUUGUUCUCUUGAGCCUUGCCUUUGGCUUAUGAAAGCAGAAGUUUUAAACUCUAUUAUUUGAGAAGUCUACUGGGAUGCCUUGGUGUGGCAGGUGCUAUAUAUAAGUUUAGCACUGCAUCACUAUUGAAGUCCAUUAAGAAAGAUCUUUCUGGAGCUGUCAGCACUGUGCAGAUUAAAACCAGAAAAAUAAAGGCAUUCAAUAAAUGCUGCUAUAAUGGUUC